rfam:Ictidomys tridecemlineatus contig056918, whole genome shotgun sequence.
GGGGUUGUGGCUCAGUGGUAGAGCGCUCACCUGGUAUGUGUGAAGCCCUGGGUUUGAUCCUUAACACCA